rfam:Cavia porcellus supercont2_5 genomic scaffold, whole genome shotgun sequence.
GGAUGUGAGGGCAAUCUGGUUGCAACAUCUGUCACUAUACUGAUGCCAGAGUUGAUUCCACUGAUCUGGUAGGACAGCCCUUCCUCCCUCACUGCCUCCUGUGCAUCCCUCGAUCAAAGAGGAUGACCAUCCCCAAUAGAGAAGAAUCAUUUCCUUCAUUUAGGGAUUCGGAGUAGCCGAGAUCCUGUGCUAGAACCUCCAAACAAGUUCUCAAUAACAAGAAAUACUACAAAUGUGCAUUAUCUCAGAGUUUCUACUGUGGAGAAUCCCCAGAUUUCAGGAAAAAGUGGAAUUCGUGUUCAGGGAACCUUCUCU